rnacentral:lncRNA from 1 species
GUUUAAAGUAAGACAGACAAAAUAAAGUUUGAGGAAACUAUUUUUUAAAUUGUACAUUUAUCAUGACAGUUUGGGGGUUAAUCUCUGGAACCAGCACAAGGAUGAAUGAGUGUAUCUAUGGAAAAUCCAGAAGGUUUGACCUUCCAGAGUCAACAGUGUGGAUUUUGCUGACUCCCUACUUAUGUGAUUUCCUGGGGAGUACAGCACCGAGGUAAUCACCACCGAGGAAAGCGAAAGCAAAAGACGGAGUCAUGGGUUUCAGCCAUAGUCUCGGUUUCACUGGAGCUGUGUCAAGCAGCGAGAUUGUGACCGUGGCCUGUGCCAGCAAGAGAGCCGGAAAGCAGAGGAAAACACUGAACUGCAUUGCUCUAAUAAAACUGUUUUGGAUAAGGUUGGACUACAGUUAAUUUUGACCCUAUCAGUGAAAAAUGUUAAGUAAAUUAUGAGGGUAAACAAGAUUUAUUGUGUUAGAGAACAUAUUCUUUUACAUGAUUAUGGAA